CAGUGUCUGCUACGAUGAGGCCUUCUUCACUUGCGCUCAGAAGCCUAGGGACAAUUUCCACGAGGUUGCAAGAAUACCUUCAUCAGUUUUGGUUGGAACACCAGCUGCAACCCUGUUAAGUUUCGAACCUUAAGCCAAUAAACAGACUCUGUAUAGUU